UUUUGCAGUAUCCUUCCCCUGCCACGCCCACCAAGCCGGUAGUAAAAAAAAAUAGAAUCUCUGCACCCCCUUUUUUUCAAACUGACUGUCACUCAAUUCUUGUGUGUGAUUUUCUGAGGGCAAGACAGCUGUGAGGUUUAUGAGGCGGAACAUUCUAGAAUAAUUUCCUAGUGAACACGACCACGGGGAAGAAGCUAAGGGUUCAAGCACCGGGAGAGCCGUGAGGAGAUUCGCACGGGGCCCCUUCAGGAUUGAGAAGCCGUGAGGCUAUUUUUACGGGUGUCUGCCUCCUCUGUUCCCUGCCAGAGAGUCAAGGCCAUGGUGCCCUACAAGCUGCCAUGAAGGGACUGGGAGCUAUCAUCAGUUUUGGAUGGAGCCUGAUUGGACCACAUGACGGACAUGUGGGUGCUGCACUUGAACUUUCUUUUGGGUGGAGAAAACCUGGAAACUUUCAGAAACUGGAAACUACCGGUUCGAUGAACCAGAUGUAAAUUUAGCGUCUGAUUCACCCGAACUGAUCCGAACCAUCUGAAUCCUACCCCUUGGAGUUGCGGGGGAAUAUUAAUAAACCCAGUAAAGCACAGUUA